GUUGGCUCGCCGCAGUGCGCAUGCGCGUCACGCACGCAGGAAGCGCGCGGCGACCUUCAGCUCGCAACCACGGCCACCGUCCUCUGAUGAUCACUUGUCAUUGUUCGCAUUGACGCUCUAUAAUCACUGUAACUAGUGAUUUCAUCGUAAUUUUGUGAUAAUGUUUUCACCACAUGACAGCAAUUACCCAACCAGACCAAGGUAAACAACUAAUUAACAUAAUGUUAUACAUUCUGUAAAAUGGAAUGCAAAAGGAAACUGCUUGUGAUUGGUCGAGAGCGGGGAAUAGGGGAAUACGCUACGAGGAAGCGUAGGCAUUAGUACGCAAUCAAGUUGUUUUUUUUUUUUUAAAUAAAGUAAAUAAAGUGA